UGGGGAAUAUUGCACAAUGGGCGCAAGCCUGAUGCAGCCAUGCCGCGUGUGUGAAGAAGGCCUUCGGGUUGUAAAGCACUUUCAGCGAGGAGGAAGGUGGUGAGCUUAAUACGCUCAUCAAUUGACGUUACUCGCAGAAGAAGCACCGGCUAACUCCGUGCCAGCAGCCGCGGUAAUACGGAGGGUGCAAGCGUUAAUCGGAAUUACUGGGCGUAAAGCGCACGCAGGCGGUUUGUUAAGUCAGAUGUGAAAUCCCCGGGCUCAACCUGGGAACUGCAUUUGAAACUGGCAAGCUAGAGUCUCGUAGAGGGGGGUAGAAUUCCAGGUGUAGCGGUGAAAUGCGUAGAGAUCUGGAGGAAUACCGGUGGCGAAGGCGGCCCCCUGGACGAAGACUGACGCUCAGGUGCGAAAGCGUGGGGAGCAAAACAGGAUUAGAUACCCUGGUAGUCCACGCUGUAAAACGAUGUCGAUUUUGGAGGUUGUGCCCCUUGAGGCGUGGNUUCCGGAGCUAACGCGUUAAAUCGACCGCCUGGGGAGUACGGCCNCAAGGUUAAAACUUAAAUGAAUUG
rnacentral:rRNA from 1 species